rnacentral:rRNA from 1 species
GACGAACCGUGCCGAACGUUAUUCGGAAUCACUGGGCUUAAAGGGCGCGUAGGCGGCCUACUAAGUCAGACGUGAAAUCCCCGGCUUAACCUGGGAACUGCGUCUGAUACUGGAAGGCUUGAGGAUGGGAGAGGGAUGGUAGAAUUCCAGGUGUAGCGGUAAAAUGCGUAGAUAUCGUGGAGGAAUACCGGUGGCGAAGGCGGCAUCCUGGACCAUUACUGACGCUGAGGCGCGAAAGGCUAGGGAGCAA